rnacentral:rRNA from 1 species
GAUGAACGCUGGCGGCGUGCUUAACACAUGCAAGUCGAGCGAAGCAAUUUAAAUGAGACUUCGGUGGAUUUUAAAUUGACUGAGCGGCGGACGGGUGAGUAACGCGUGGAUAACCUGCCUCACACAGGGGGAUAACAGUUAGAAAUGACUGCUAAUACCGCAUAAGCGCACGGCAUCGCAUGAUGCAGUGUGAAAAACUCCGGUGGUGUGAGAUGGAUCCGCGUCUGAUUAGGUAGUUGGUGAGGUAACGGCCCACCAAGCCGACGAUCAGUAGCCGACCUGAGAGGGUGACCGGCCACAUUGGGACUGAGACACGGCCCCAAAGUCCUACGGGAGCAGCAGUGGGGAAUAUGCACAAUGGGGGAAACCCUGAUGCAGCGACGCCGCGUGAGUGAUGAAGUAUUCGGUAUGUAAAACUCUAUCAGCAGGGAAGAUAAUGACGGUACCUGACUAAGAAGCACCGGCUAAA